GACGAACGCUGGCGGCGCGCCUAACACAUGCAAGUCGAACGAGCGAGAGGAAGCUUGCUUCCUUAAUCGAGUGGCGAACGGGUGAGUAACGCGUGAGGAACCUGCCUCAAAGAGGGGGACAACAGUUGGAAACGACUGCUAAUACCGCAUAAGCCCACAGCUCGGCAUCGAGCAGAGGGAAAAGGAGUGAUCCGCUUUGAGAUGGCCUCGCGUCCGAUUAGCUGGUUGGUGAGGUAACGGCCCACCAAGGCAACGAUCGGUAGCCGGACUGAGAGGUUGAACGGCCACAUUGGGACUGAGACACGGCCCAGACUCCUACGGGAGGCAGCAGUGGGGAAUAUUGCACAAUGGGGGAAACCCUGAUGCAGCGACGCCGCGUGGAGGAAGAAGGUCUUCGGAUUGUAAACUCCUGUUGUUGAGGAAGAUAAUGACGGUACUCAACAAGGAAGUGACGGCUAACUACGUGCCAGCAGCCGCGGUAAAACGUAGGUCACAAGCGUUGUCCGGAAUUACUGGGUGUAAAGGGAGCGCAGGCGGGAAGACAAGUUGGAAGUGAAAUCUAUGGGCUCAACCCAUAAACUGCUUUCAAAACUGUUUUUCUUGAGUAGUGCAGAGGUAGGCGGAAUUCCCGGUGUAGCGGUGGAAUGCGUAGAUAUCGGGAGGAACACCAGUGGCGAAGGCGGCCUACUGGGCACCAACUGACGCUGAGGCUCGAAAGUGUGGGUAGCAAACAGG
rnacentral:rRNA from 1 species